rnacentral:rRNA from 1 species
GAGCGGAAAGGCCCCUUCGGGGGUACUCGAGCGGCGAACGGGUGAGUAACACGUGAGCAACCUGCCCCUGACUUCGGGAUAAGCCUGGGAAACUGGGUCUAAUACCGGAUACGACCAUUUUGGGCAUGUGUGGUGGUGGAAAGUUUUUCGGUUGGGGAUGGGCUCGCGGCCUAUCAGCUUGUUGGUGGGGUGAUGGCCUACCAAGGCUUCGACGGGUAACCGGCCUGAGAGGGCGACCGGUCACACUGGGACUGAGACACGGCCCAGACUCCUACGGGAGGCAGCAGUGGGGAAUAUUGCGCAAUGGGCGGAAGCCUGACGCAGCGACGCCGCGUGGGGGAUGACGGCCUUCGGGUUGUAAACCUCUUUCAGCAGGGACGAAGCUUAAGUGACGGUACCUGUAGAAGAAGCGCCGGCUAACUACGUGCCAGCAGCCGGGGGUAAUUCA